rnacentral:lncRNA from 1 species
UGCCCAAGGGAAGAAAUGAAUAGUCAUCUGAAGGCUAAAGCAAAGAAUCACAAGGCUAAAGUCCAACAUAAUGAAAAGCUCCACGGUACUAACUAAUAAGCUUUACAUUCCAAUAUCUUUGUUUUAUGUAACUGUUGCUCCCAAAUUAUUCAGAAAUCUUAACCAAAGUGUAAACAUAUAAUAUUAUAUAACAGAAACUAUGUAUCAACCAAAAAAUCACAAUUAUUUUAACUGUAUAUACAACUACUGGUACUCCAAUAAUAUUUUCUUCUUUCAGUGCUCGUCCUUCAACACAACACAAGGUUUGACUCAAUAUUGCUAUCAUCCUUUGCCGAGGUGAAGUGGAGACUGAAUUUCAGCAGCAAGAAGACCUUGAUCAUCACCCAAAUUGCUUCUUUAUACCUCUCAAAUCCUUGUUAGUCGUGAAGGCAGCCCAAAUAAGAGAUGAUAAAUUUAAGAAUAUCAAGAGGCAAAUAAGUGACGAGCCUCCACAUAAAUGAUUAUGCCCACCCCCAACUGAUUCCUUUUAUCCUGACAAAGUCCCAGUUUGAAUAUACAACAAAAUCUCACGUAGAAAUGUUCAACAACUUACCAACAACCCCAACAGAUUGGGCUUCAUGUAAUUAAGAUAAGUUAAUGUUAAAAUAAGCUGUGGUGUAUCUAGUACUUUGAUGUGACUAAUGUUGAAAUGCACAAGCGAAAACUGUAUCUCAAUGUUAAUAAAAUCUGAAGAGGUAAGGCACAAUAAAAAAUAUUAUCAAUACCUUAAACAAUAGGUAAUAUGAAAGUCCUUUUUAAAGUUUAAAAUUUAUUGGGGUAGAAAUUAAGCAAAAAAUGCUCCAAGUAUAAUGAAAAACUCUACAAAGUGAAUUCAAUAUCAGAAUAAGCCACUAAAUACCUUGACUACCAUAGUCUUAUGUGUAGACUCGUCUUAAUAACUCAGAAAAAUGAGCAGCUAGAAUAGUUUCUUCUUGGGAUUGAACUAUAUCUCCCAUUUUCUUCUACCAUAUCUCUUGUUCUUUUGUUGUCUUUCCUAUGCUACCAGUCUUCCAGUGUUGU